UACGUAGGGUGCGAGCGUUGUCCGGAAUUAUUGGGCGUAAAGAGCUUGUAGGCGGUUUGUCGCGUCUGCCGUGAAAAUCCGGGGCUCAACCCCGGACUUGCGGUGGGUACGGGCAGACUAGAGUGUGGUAGGGGAGACUGGAAUUCCUGGUGUAGCGGUGAAAUGCGCAGAUAUCAGGAGGAACACCGAUGGCGAAGGCAGGUCUCUGGGCCGUAACUGACGCUGAGGAGCGAAAGCAUGGGGAGCGAACAGG
rnacentral:rRNA from 1 species